rnacentral:rRNA from 1 species
AGAGUUUGAUCAUGGCUCAGAACGAACGCUGGCGGCAGGCUUAACACAUGCAAGUCGAACGCACUCUUCGGAGUGAGUGGCAGACGGGUGAGUAACGCGUGGGAACGUACCCUUUGGUUCGGAAUAACCCAGGGAAACUUGGGCUAAUACCGGAUGCGCCGGAAACGGGAAAGGUUUACCGCCGAAGGAUCGGCCCGCGUCGGAUUAGCUAGUUGGUGGGGUAACGGCCUACCAAGGCGACGAUCCGUAGCUGGUCUGAGAGGAUGAUCAGCCACACUGGGACUGAGACACGGCCCAGACUCCUACGGGAGGCAGCAGUGGGGAAUAUUGGUCAAUGGGCGCAAGCCUGAACCAGCCAUGCCGCGUGAGUGAAGAAGGCCUUAGGGUUGUAAAGCUCUUUCAGCGGGGACGAUAAUGACGGUACCCGCAGAAGAAGCCCCGGCUAACUUCGUGCCAGCAGCCGCGGUAAUACGAAGGGGGCUAGCGUUGUUCGGAAUUACUGGGCGUAAAGCGCGCGUAGGCGGAUAUUUAAGUCAGGGGUGAAAUCCCAGGGCUCAACCCUGGAACUGCCUUUGAUACUGGAUAUCUGGAGUUCGGGAGAGGUGAGUGGAAUUCCGAGUGUAGAGGUGAAAUUCGUAGAUAUUCGGAGGAACACCAGAAGCGAAGGCGGCUCACUGGCCCGAUACUGACGCUGAGGCGCGAAAGCGUGGGGAGCAAACAGGAUUAGAUACCCUCGUAGUCC